rnacentral:rRNA from 1 species
GUAGGGCGGGACACGUGGUAUCCUGUCUGAAUAUGGGGGGACCAUCCUCCAAGGCUAAAUACUCCUGACUGACCGAUAGUGAACCAGUACCGUGAGGGAAAGGCGAAAAGAACCCCGGCGAGGGGAGUGAAAAAGAACCUGAAACCGUGUACGUACAAGCAGUGGGAGCACAGAGCAAUCUGUGUGACUGCGUACCUUUUGUAUAAUGGGUCAGCGACUUAUAUUCUGUAGCAAGGUUAACCGAAUAGGGGAGCCGAAGGGAAACCGAGUCUUAACUGGGCGUUAAGUUGCAGGGUAUAGACCCGAAACCCGGUGAUCUAGCCAUGGGCAGGUUGAAGGUUGGGUAACACUAACUGGAGGACCGAACCGACUAAUGUUGAAAAAUUAGCGGAUGACUUGUGGCUGGGGGUGAAAGGCCAAUCAAACCGGGAGAUAGCUGGUUCUCCCCGAAAGCUAUUUAGGUAGCGCCUCGUGAAUUCAUCUCCGGGGGUAGAGCACUGUUUCGGCAAGGGGGUCAUCCCGACUUACCAACCCGAUGCAAACUGCGAAUACCGGAGAAUGUUAUCACGGGAGACACACGGCGGGUGCUAACGUCCGUCGUGAAGAGGGAAACAACCCAGACCGCCAGCUAAGGUCCCAAAGUCAUGGUUAAGUGGGAAACGAUGUGGGAAGGCCCAGACAGCCAGGAUGUUGGCUUAGAAGCAGCCAUCAUUUAAAGAAAGCGUAAUAGCUCACUGGUCGAGUCGGCCUGCGCGGAAGAUGUAACGGGGCUAAACCAUGCACCGAAGCUGCGGCAGCGACACUGUGUGUUGUUGGGUAGGGGAGCGU